GGGAAUUUUCCGCAAUGGGCGAAAGCCUGACGGAGCAAUACCGCGUGAGGGAUGACGGCCUAUGGGUUGUAAACCUCUUUUUUCAGGGAGGAAUCAGUGACGUGUACCUGAAGAAUAAGCAUCGGCUAACUCCGUGCCAGCAGCCGCGGUAAGACGGAGGAUGCAAGUGUUAUCCGGAAUCACUGGGCGUAAAGCGUCUGUAGGUGGUUUAAUAAGUCAACUGUUAAAUCUUGAGGCUCAACCUCAAAAUCGCAGUCGAAACUAUUAGACUAGAGUAUAGUAGGGGUAAAGGGAAUUUCCAGUGGAGCGGUGAAAUGCGUAGAUAUUGGAAGGAACACCGAUGGCGAAGGCACUUUACUGGGCUAUUACUAACACUCAGAGACGAAAGCUAGGGUAGCAAAUGGGAUUAGAUACCCCAGUAGUCA
rnacentral:rRNA from 1 species